UGAGAUGAAAACUUGUUUGGAGUGGGUGUUUGUGUUCCAGACUCUUGUACAGAAUCAGAAUUCCAGAUGCUAGUUUUUUAUGAAACAAAAGCGUGCUUGUCGUCGUGCCAGUUGUUCUCCUAAUGAUCUCCAGUGUAACAGGAGCCCUGAUCACCAGUUUGUUGCAUCUCCCUGUGCACCAGCCAACCACUCUGGCAUACGAAAGCUAUUUUCAGUAUUACUACAACAAACCCUACACAAGAUCUGGCCCGCAUCUACUGGGCAAUAUUGCCGGAAUAUAUGACAACCAAGAAAGAGACACUUACAAAGCAACAGACAAUGUCUUUAAUGCUUUUAUUACUUUUUACAUCAAAAAGGAGUUUUCAGUCUCAUAACAGAUCAUUUUUGCUAUGUGACAGUGGCAGGCAGUCAUAGGUUGGCUCUGCU
ensembl:lncRNA